GGAUUGUGGCUCAGUGGCACAGUGCGAGCCUUGCAUCUGUGAGGCACUGGGUUCGAUUCUCAGCACCA
rnacentral:tRNA from 1 species